GGCUGAGGCACAUUAAGCUUCACUGAGGGAGAAACAGUGCGUUUUAUCAAAGGGCUGGACAGCUACGCGCACAAGAUGUCACCUGCAGGGAUUGGUUUUUGCCCAGAUGUGCAGGGAAUAUGUAUAGAGGGAAAGAAAUGUCCGUGCGUGUGCAGGUUUUGGCAGGUGCGCAUGAAGCCUGGAAGGAUUUUCUUUGGAUCCACAAUCAAAAUGGAUUUCCAGGAGGGACCUUGUCUGAGCACAUGCCUCUUUCAUGUGCUGCAUAUGGCCCCAUCCCGCCAGGCAGGUACUCAAGAAAGCGAUCGGCACCUGCUUCAGCUCUGGCCAGAGCUCGUUGGCUCACGUGGUGGGUGGAAAACUGAAAGGAGGACAGAGAAGCAUCUUAGAGACUCGAGGAGGAGUUGAGUCUCUCACCACCUUCCUGCAGGUCUUCUGAAUACUUCUGAGCACAGGAACCUCUUCUCUCAACAGGCAAGUCAGUAGUUAUUGAGAUAAAACCACAACCCAGGCUCGAGCCAGGGUUAAUAUCAACCAUCCGCUGUCCACAGAGCACUGACUGUGGGCCAUGCAUUGUGCUAAGCACUCUCAUUUAAUCCUUACAACAAUCCCUAUGAGGUAGGUGCUACUACUACCCCAUUGUACAGAUGGGGACACUGAGGCCUAAAGUUCCACAGCUGGUAACUUGCAGAAUAGAAAUUCUUCCCCUGGGCCGUCUGACUCCAGCUAUAGCUAUUCAUGGCAGGAGAAAAAUAUGCUAAGUGUGUCUUAAGAAACCAUCAGUGGUGGUCACACAACCACUCCAAAUAUGAAGGAAAAAAUGAAACAGCAGUGGUAAUGGGAUAAUAAUAUUAUCCCAUUAUAUUGUGGGAUUAUGUUGUCUUGUUGUCUGGCAUAAGUUAAUUUCCAUAAUGGUUUUCUAUUUCAGUCAAAGCAGUCUUCUUUUUUUUUUUUCUCUUCUAGUGACGUUUCCCAGGUGUAGGAAGUGGGAAUAUGUCAGGCAGCUACAUUUGAGAGUCUUUGUCUCUAUUAAAGAGUUUGAUUGUAACUUCACCCCAAAUCCCUUGGAAAAGACCAGACAGUCCCUGCUCCAGCUCCACUUGGAAGAACAUCGCAAACGUGGUGGUUUCUGGGCCACUGGUUAGGUUAAGCAAAUGGGUUUCCAGACAUUCAACCUUUAAUGGGAAAGUUCUGUGGCUUGGAUCAGUAAAGUCAUAAAGUGCUCAUUUAAUUAUGUUUCAAGCCCAUUUAUCUGUUUUUGAGUCUAAGGAAGAUGUAUUCCAUCAGAAAGGGUAGAUACAAGGGAUGAGUAAAUGAUUUUUCUCUUUUUUCCCUUGACUCAUUUGAACAGCUGCUUCCAAAUUGAACCUUUAAGUAUGGCAUUUGUGAGUGAAAUUGCCCCCUUUUAGUUGCAAGGUAAUUGAAUCUCAUUUUUCACUUUCCAUUUCCUUCUAGAAGAAUCAAAAUGUUUUUUAGAACUUGGCUUCUCCGUGGGCGAUUUUAUAAGGUGGGAACUUCAGCAUCAUACAAGAGACUGGUGUGCUGAUGGCAUUCAGGACAAUUCAAGACAAGGGCAGUCAGGCCUGUUCUCUGCAGCUGAACCAACCCCACCAACCCCCGAGAGCAUAUUGAUUUCACUGUGUUUGCACUUGAAACACCAAAGGAAUGUCCACACCUUGUCCUUGGGCCAGGGCUGAGGGAUAGGAGAGGUAGACCUUUGUCACCCUUGAAGAAGCUGAGGGGCACUAUCACACAGAGGCAAAGCCUGGAACCGUGAGCUAAAUUGGCUUAGAUUGGUGUCUCUGAAAGUGUUGGACAAAUGAGAGCUGAUUUUAGGUGGCAGGUGGAUGGGACUUUAAAUGAUCUUGAAUCCCAUAGUAACAUAAGAUUGUGUUUCCAACUGUCUUUCAAUUCUUCUGAUUACAUGAAGGGCAAAGUCUCCGUUUGAUGCUCUCUGUCUUUAACAUUUUUCUCAUCUUGUUUUUUAAAUAAAAAAAAAGACCAGGCCUGAGUCUUGGGCCUUUAGAAAGUAACAGUUUACAGUUUCCAUUUAAUAACAUUGUUUCAUUUUUUGUUGUUUUGUUCUUAUGAUAACUUUUGAUUGAUGGCAUUUUAAAGGCCGGAUAUAAAGUUUUAUUUUAAGACAAUGGGUUAAGAUUUUUUUUUACUUUUUUUUAAAGUUUAUUUAUUGAUUUUGAAAGAGAGAGAGAGAGUGAGAACUAGCAGGGGAGAGCAGAGAGAGGAAGAGAGAGAAUCCCAGGCAAGUUCCUCACUGGCAGCAUAGAUCCUGAUGCAGGACUCUAACUCAUGAACCGUGAGACCAUGACCUGAGCCUAAACCAAGAAUCAGAUGCCUAACUGACUGAGCCACUGAGGCGCCCCAAGAUUUUUUUUUUUACUAUUAGUAAAUGAUGUUUGUGGUUGUGGCAAAACUCACCUGCAUGGCAUCUGAGCGCUACAGCCUGGGAUGCACUGGUUUCAGUGGACCAGCAGGAAACUGGAGGAAGACUGGUUUCACCCAAACUCACAGAUGUGAUUCCCAGUCAUUCCUCUGCCCUCACCAACUGGGCGCUUAGCUCGCUUGAGCUUCAGUUUUCUCAUCUGUAAAGUGGGUGCUACGAGCAGCUGUAGGAAAGCGGGCUUCUUCUGUUUCCUAAGACCCAGACGCUGACCUCUUGGUGGAGCCUCAGGAAGUCAGGUUCUCUUCCUUCGAGGUUAGUUGCAUCCUGUUUCCUUCAUGCAGAGGCUCUGAGUUUGCCGCUGGGUGGGAGAAAAGGUGAGUCGCAGUUCAUCACCCCUGCAGCCUGGAGGAGAAGUGUGCUCCCGAGGCCAGAGAAUCAAGCAAACCCAUCUGGCCAAGAUGGCUCAACAGCACGAAGGCCGAAGUUUUGUGCACAGGCAGGCUUUCCCUUCUCAGGCAACAAAUCUUUGGCAAUCGGAGGCAGGCUCUGGAUUAAGCUUAAUUAAAAUUCAGUCUUAAUUAGGGCCAUUACUUAAAAUCAACUCUAUGUAAUGAAGCUGUGUAAUCAUAAUUAAGCCCAGAAAUGGAAUUAGGAAGCACAGAAUGUUAAAGCCAAACACAGAUGGGCCCAGGGCCUAUGAGGACAGAGACAGGACUUCUGGAUUCAACAGAAUUUCAAAUAGCUAAGGACCAAUGAUUGCAUUGAUGCGAAACUUGAUGGCCAUCAGGACAAUGAACUAAUCAGAAAGAGGAUUCAGGAUACAUGGGACCCCAAGAUGCAAAGCUUGUGUGACAUUACAGGCAAGAGGAUGGGGCAGCAUCAGGCAGAGGGGACCAAUGUAUGUCGAGGAGAAACAGGGGCACUUAGCAACAUUUUACAUUGACAACUUCCUCUGUAUCCAGCACCGUUCUGUUGUGUGUGUGUGUUUUUAAAUGUAUGAGCUAAUUUUAUUUUCACGAUCACUCUGUGAAUGGGUAUUAUUAUUUCCUCCAACUUACAGAUAAGGAGUCUGAGGCUCAGAGACUGGUGUAAGUAACUUGCCAAGGUCAUGCCACAAGUAAGUGGCAAAUACUAAAGGCUGCACAAAUGGUACUUAUUAUUAUAAAGGUACUAUCUGUCUGUUUAACUCUGUUGGUCAGAGUUAGUAAAACCUACAAACAACACAUGUGCAGAAGCUAUACCUAAGUCCCAAGUGAGGUCACUUACCCAUGAUUGUCCCCAGAUCCAAAGCCUAUGCCUCUAUUUUAUUUUUUUUUAAGUUUAUUCAUUAUUUUUUAAGUUUAUUUAUUUGAGAGAGAGAGACAGAGAGAGGGAGAGAGAAAAUUCCAAUGUCCACGCUGAUAGUACAGAGUCCAAUGCAGGGCUUGAUCCCAUGAAUUGUGAGAUCAUGGCCUGAGAAGACGAAAUCAAGAGUUGGAUGCUUAACUGAGCCACCCACAUGCCCCAAGCCUAUGCCUCUAACACUGUCAGGAUAGGUCAGGCAUUUAGGUUCAGAGAGGAAGGUGCUAUCAGGUACUAAUUUCAGAAUUGCAGAGCUGGAGGGGGAAGAGCAAGGAAGAGAGAGUUCCAUCUGAUACUUGUUUUUUGGCUUAGCAUUUUAGUUUUCCUUGCUCAGGAGACCCUGGGAAUUAUACUCAGGAGUGGAAAGGGGAUGUUUGAGCACCGGUAGCUUUCCCUCCCUCCCUGAGCUCCCUAUUGUUCAGAGCAUGGCUCAUGUCUCAUACCUCUUACGCCAUCAUCUAUCUGUCUAUCUAUCUAUCUAUCUACCAACUCUUACACCGUGUGUGUGUGUGUGUGUGUAUGCACACAAAUACCACGCUGUCCCAGAAAUAUUGUCCAGUCUAGGGUGCCCUCUCAGACUCUUGUUUUUUCUCUCAAUCAAGUCAGACCAGCAGGAAGGACUUCUCCAUGCCCAGAUUUAGAACCAGAUAUGCCAUUGGUGCUGGAAAUGUCCUGUGGUUCAUGUUUCCCAAACAGCCUCAGGCCCACCCAGAGAUUCCUCUCAGUGUCACUCACUCCACAGUGCUCACCUCCAGUGAUGGGGAUAUCACUACUUACUGAGUUAAAUCCUUCAGUUUUGGAAGAUAGUGUAGAAGGGACAUUUGGCUUAGGCCUAGGCCUAAUGAUCAUGAAGGCCUUCCAAUUCCAGACUUUUGAUAUCAUCUCUAAAUGAGUGAUACACACAGUCCAUAUGUGGAAAUAUUCGUUUGUUAAAUGCAAAUGUUUCAGUCAUAUCACAUUUUAUUUUAUUUUUUUUGCAAGGAUGUGUUAGCUUCCCCAUUUUUUAUAUACCAGGAACCUGAAUUUUAAAAGAAGACACAUCAUGGCCUCGCCCACUAUCUACAUCUAGGAGGCCCCAGGAAUUAUCAAAGACCUUUCCAUUGCAGUGUUUCCACUCUGUGUGGAGGGUUAGGGAACAUUGGCUUGGUGAGUGCCUCUUGUUUAUGCCCUGGGUGUCCUUAGCAUGGAGGCAUGGGAACUAGAGGGAGGUCUUGCUCUGAUUAAAAGGGGUUUAAGUUUGCUGCCCAGGACCAACAUUACAUAGCCAAGAGCACUGCUUGUUUUGAGGAGGAGGGCAAACGGUGGGGGGAAGAGAGGCAGUGGCCAAGUCAGGUUUCUCAGGAUCCUAGAGACCCUGCUUGGUAAGGAAUGGAGCAAAUUCCUUGUGCACAUGCCAGGCCUCCGAACCACACAGUUCCAGUGGCACCCUACGCGUGGUGUUCUAUGCAAAUGUCUCCCAACGGGGUUGUGCCACAUGGAGGCCCUGAUGCAAACCCCAAUCCCAAAGGGCACUCCCAAAGUAAGCUGGUGCUACGUGAGGGGGCUGAACCCCAGAUUGCAAGGUAUUCACAGACACUGGCUCAUGAGGAGGCCACCGUCCCUCUCCCACCCAUGACCUCUUUGUCCUUUAUCCUGAGAGCAUCUGCCUCUAUUUACACUAAAUAGCUCCAAUGCCAUUUGCUGGUUCCUGUAUUUUGGGCAAGCUGAGCUGGAGGCCCCUGCAGCCGGUCUGAGCAGGUAGCUGUGCUGGUGAUGGUCACGCGGAAGGUCCUGCUCUUCCAACAAAGUUUAGCAAACACCUUAUCUCCCAGAAAACAGAUGAGGUAAUGUUUAUGAAAGAUCACUCUGUCCCUUUCCACUGGGCUGAGGGGUGCCAGUGUGACCAACUUGUGCCAGAAGGUGGACUCUCCUCAGCCACCUUGCUCCCCCAUUCUCCUCUCCUGCUCCCUCAUUUGGGUAGGAAACCUCACUGAUGUCCUUUCUCACCGUAGAUGGUGGGAGAACAGGACUCUCCAUUCUGGACAGUCCAUUCAGGACUCACCUUGGCCUUUGUGUCUCCACUUUUCAAGGCACAUUCACAGCUCCCUUACGUGAGGAAACUGAGGCAGAGAGAAGUAAAGCAUCUUGGCCAAAGUUACAGGCAGGGUGGUGGCUGCACUGGGGACCCAGGGUCCUACUUCUGAACUGCUUUAUUUGUGAUCACCAUUCAUUUAAAGAUUCCUUAUUUUUGAGAUGGCUGGCUGGCUGGAUGGGUGGGAGCUAGCCAUAGAGACAGAUCAAAGAAAGAUAGCUCACAAGCAAGUAACAGGUGGAAAGAUAGAGAUGAUUGUGUAAGUGUAGAUGGUUCCUGAAGGAUACAUAAAAACACCGUGGACAAUAGUUGCUCCUGGGAAGGCAAUGGGGAAUCUGGGUGAGAGAGACUGCUUUUUAUUCUUCUUUACCUUUGCUUCCUCUGAACUGUUGAAGUAUUUUUCUUGCACACAUAUUAGUUUUUUAAAAUGUUUGUUUUUUUAUUUUUGAGAGAGAGGGAGGGAGAAAGAGAGAGAGACAGCAGGGGAGGGGCAGAGAGAGAGGGAGACAGAGAAUCCCAAGCAGGCUCCACACUGUCAGCGCAGGGCCUGAGGCAGGGCUCAAUCUCAUGAACCGUGAGAUCAUUACCUGAGCCAAAACCAAGAGUCAGAUGCUUAGCUGACUGAGCCAGGCACUCCUGUACACAUACUAGUUUUAAAAAAAUUCCCUUUUCUACGUUUAUUUGUGGUAUGAUUUUCAUGUGUUUGUCCACAGGAGAGAUUGGAAGCCUACACUCCAGGAAAGUCACAAGAGGCUCUAGGAAAAGAACAGCGGUGGAAGGUGGGUGACAUUCAGUCUUUGGCGUCUGAGAACCCAUGUGGCUGCCCCGGUUACCUCUAUCCCUGCCUCCGUUCCUGGAGGGCCUGUUUGCAGAGCAACAGCAGAGAUGUUUAUUUCACCGGUGCUUGCAAAUAGGACUGAUUGGAAACCACCUAUAUCCCCACAACUUAGAACUCGCUAAUGAUCUUCAGUUCAGCUGCAUAAUGGAAUACCAUGCAGUUGCUAAGAAUAAAUCAGAAAUCCUAUACUUUCUGCGUUCGGUGUUAGAUUCCACAGUGGAACAAACACCUCUUGCCUUAUGCAGUCUGGUUUCAUGGAUUGCACAGGCUGCUUGGUUGAUCUGAAUGUCAACCUGGGCUGGGGGCUGCUGUUCAGCGUUUAGGGUUCCUCUGAAGGGAAUGCAGAGAAGUCAAGUCAAAAUGUGCCAAAGAUGUUACCAACAAUCAUGUCUUGUUGUGAUACUUUGAGUAACUUUUAUUAUUUUUCAGUUUUUUCCUUCCAUUUCCAAUAUGCAAAUAUACUUCCUAAUUUAAAAAAAUAAACGUUUAUAAAGAAUCUUGUAGAUAAAGAACAAUAACAGAAAUCACUGCCCAGGAGGACUGGAAGGAAAUAAGACAAAAUGCUGCCUUUAGAUGGUAAGAUCAUAGAUGAUUUUUUUUUUCUCCUUACCUUUAUUUUUUUUUGAAUCUUCCGCAUUUGAUAUGUUUACUUGCAUAAUUGGGCAUUCAUAUUUAAGAUGGAUUUUUUUUUUAAUGGGUGGAGAGGGGAAGAUAGAUGAUGCUAUUGAAAAGCCAGAGCGUCAGACUUUCCAACGCCUGUUCAUGUUAACUGGUUGCUAUUUCAUGGGCCCCUAAAAUGUACAAGUCACUGAGCUCAGGGAUACAGAGGUGAAGGAGAUGUGAAUCAGUUAAUCAAGAAAGUCACAGUUCAUUUGAGGAGAUAAAACCCUUUCUGAUACAAGAUGCAGGGUCUCAUCCUAGAGCAUAGGCUAUCAGAGUAAUUAUCAUAAUGCUAGGGAGAAACUUCUCUGCGUGUCUUAACCGUGUCAGUUUGGAGCCUCAGUGUCCUCUCCUGUGAAUGUAGCCUACCCCACAGGAUGACUGUGGAGGUCACAUGGAGCUGCAUGUCCGGGGCUCAGCAAGGUGCUUUGCAAACAGUUCAUCCUCAGCACGAAUCACCAUUGUCACCAUGGCUCUGGUCACCACACCUGCUAUUUAGAAGUCAGGUUUACACAGAUGUGACAUACCUGGGGUCUGAACCCACCUUUAUCUGAUCUCAAAGUUAAUGCUCUUGCCCCAACCAGCCACUGUAUUUCCCUUCUAAGUUUGACCUAAAUGUCUUCACCCUUCAGUCUGGCCAGGAAGAAGAUCUACAUGUUCUUGAAAACAUCACAGGAGAAAUAAAUGUGAAAGAACAUCAGGGGAAGACGGACUCAUGUCUUGGAGUAAGAUCUUGCAACUUUGUCAUUUUGUAGUUUGUGUCUCUUGGUGGAGGAGAUUCCAUCCACAGCCAGUGGUGGUGACCCAACACUGUUGGGUCAUUCCUGGUUCCCUUGCUGUGAGUGUGACACAGGGUGCUGGUCCGCUCUGGCUGAAGGGAAGAGGGUCAUGAAUGGAGAGCAAGGGGAGGCAGAAGGGUGGGCCAGUGGGAUCCGGGAGAGCCCCAAGGAGCUGGGCAACCAAAGCCAAGAGGAGCACACCAACUGCCCAUGGGCUAAGGUCAGAAGUCUGGGGAAGCUGAGACAAAAAAAAAAAAAAAAACGGGGGUUCAGCAAGGGGCACACGGAUACUCAAAGCAGAGGGGAAAUUCUACUUAUGGACCUUCAUGGCAUUCCAAAAUUAGUUAACCCCUGGGAGAGGCUAAAUAUUGAGUUUUUCUCCCUGUCCCUCUGGCCAACUGUCUUUUUUACGGGUCCCCGUUAGCCCCAUUAUAGCUCAACCCACCUCAUUCCUUUCCAUUCUGUUCACCCCACUCUGUGCCAAGCGCUGCUUGGCGACACCAGAGGACUGUGUGUUGGGAUAAGGAAGAAACAAGGUAAACGUAUUAUAUGACUAGUGCUGUCCUUCGGGCAGGGGCAACAUGGUAGCUGAUGGGCUGAGGCAGGCAGGAAAGGCUUCCAGAGGAGCAGGUACUGAGCUGGGUCCUCAAGGACACUGUGAGCAGCUUCCCAGCACAUCUGAGAGAGGAGGGCGAUUUCUGGAAAAUACAUAAGAGUGACGGAUGCCCCUGCCAUGCUCCUGGUGGAUGUCAGCUUCUGAAUUGCAGGUGUGUUCAGAGGAGAUCUGGGGCCAUGAGGCUACCACACAGGUGGAGUGGCCUCCAAAGGGCAUUGACUGACCUGCUGAGGGAUCUGUAAUGAGGGGGAGAGACAGGUCUGAUUUGAACUUGGCAGUGGGUGUCCAUGUGGGACAAUAUGGAGAGGUACCUCUGUUAUCCUCGGUAUUGUGUCUUCAUUUGGGGGAGAAGAAAUUCUAAAUUUAUCAUUUAAUCAGAUGACUUUAGAAAAGUAGCUAUCUAGGUGCUGAGAAAAUUAGUUCAUUCAUUCAUACUUCAUUUAUUCAUUCAAAACAAUUCUUGUACCUCAGUUUAUAUUUCCUACUGCUUAAAUUUCUGUGGUGUCUACACAGAUUGUUAAGGCAUUGUUCUAAUCUCAAGAACCUUAAAAACAGAAGGAGGGGAAGGUGAGGACUAACCCCAUGGUGUUAACCCAUAAACUGAGCUGGUCACAUCACCACCUCACCACUACUUAAAAUGUCCCAGUGGGUUUCUAUUUCUCUCAGGAAAAGUACAAACUUUUAUCCAGGCCAAAACAUCCCUCUAUGGCCUCACCUCCUGAGACCCAUCUCCUAGCACCUCCCUUCUUUUCCCUCCAUGCCAGCCUCAUUGUCCUUCUUUAUGUGGUCCUUACCAGACUGUCUUCAACCACAGGCCCCUAACACAUGUUGUUCCCUCUACCACUGUCAUCUCCCUGGGUUCAUGUGCACUCAUCCUUCUAAGUGCACAUCAAUGCUGCUUCCUCGGGGUAGGCUUUCCUGGUCUAUUUAAAUUGACUCCGACCUUAGUACACAACUCAUACUCCAUAUAACAUCCUUCAUAAGUCUUAUCCCAGUCACAAGAAUUUUUCAUUUAUGUACAUGAUAACUUUAUUAAUAUCUGUAUUCACCAGACUGUAAGCUCCAUGAGAACAAGGGCUGUGUCUUUCCAAAAAAUCAACUUUACUGAGGCAUAAUUUUUGUACAACAAACACACCCACUUCACACGCACAUUUCAAUGAGUGUUGACAAAUUUACACAAAAAUGGUUUCACUGUGUAACCACCAACAUGGUCAAGAUGUGGAACAUUUCCAUCGCCUCAAAAAGCUCCUCUGUGCCUCAUCCCAGUCAACUCUCUGCUUUGCUUCCUGUCUCUAUAGAUUAGCCUUUUCUAGAGUUUCAUAUAAAUGGAACCAUGCAAUAAGCAUUGUUGUGUCUGGCUUCGUCCAUUCAACAUAAUGUUUUUGAGAGUCAUCCUUGUUGUUGUAUCAGUGGUUCGUUGCUUUUUGUUGCUGAAUACUCUUCUCCAGUUGGUUCAUGGAAGUUACCUGUGUCUCUUCAGGUAAGCCUUUAGCUCCUUAAGGACAGAGGCCACAUUCUUUGACACCUCUGAUACUUGGUGUCGGCCUAGGCACAUAGGAGACCUUUGGGAGUAGCAGAGUCCAUCUUCCCUGACCCAGGGCAUGGGAGUGGCCACUCUGUACCCACAUUCAACAGUCACCCUGAUACUCACAGUCUUCCCCUCCAUGCCCACAGGCUGACCUUCUUGGCCCAGGGCUCCCAAGCACAUAUACCUCCUUCAGAAUCAGUCUGAUGCCUCUCACAGCAAUGCAGAGAAGUCCUGGGCCAGCCACAGCAGUUAGGGGGCAAAGCUGGGAGAUCACAGGCAAAUCAGAUCCCUCUGACACUGGGCACGUUGAUUUCCUUAACUGCCAAACAGAGACACUGCUGUCUACCUCACAAGGCCACUAAGUGGGCACAUGUGUGUGAAAGUGCCACUUGAAGUAGAAAACACAAUACUACACAGUAAGAGUGAAUUUAAUCAUUUAAUGGAAUUAACAAUGGCCUGUGUUACCUGGGACCCCUUUUCCCUCUCAGGACCUUCAAUUUCUUUACCCAUCAGAUGAAAAGUUGAGCUAGAGUUCCCUAAGAUGCCUUCUGUCUUGAACCUUCUUGGAUUCUAAGGUGCUGGAAUAUGAGAGAAAGGGCCUGAUGAUCCAGAAUUAGAAAAAAAUUUGUGUGAUUUUUUAGAGAACAACUGACUUCUCUGAAAGUUCUCUUCCUGAGUAAAGGAUUCAGCUCUAGUUGUGAGAACAAACCAAUGUUUUUGCAUUAAUAGCCUUAAAUCUGCCACUCUUUCCAAGCCUGUCAUGGAAAGUACUAGAGCUCCUUUCUUCCCAUGUGCUGGCUGGUGCUAUAUGGCACGUCUUUUGCUGGACUAGAUCUUUGAUGGGUCCCCAUUACUGGAAGUGCAGGAACAGCCUCCCCUUUUGCAAAAGCCAAUAGUUCAGUUCAAAUGACUCUUUGUGGGCCCUGUCACUCAACAAAGGAUUCCUGAGGGCCCAGGUGUGUUAGGGGCUUUAUAAGUGUUGUCUCUCUCUGCCUGUGCUGGAAGUCUUAGACCACAAUUUAAGAUGGAGAAAUGGCUCAGUGAGGUGUGUAAAUGAUCAAGUUGGAGCUAAAUUACCAGGUCCUCCUUUCCGCUCUAAUAGGCCCUGCACUAGGCCCAGGGGAUUCCAAAAUAGUUCAGUCACACUUGAAUUCUUAGAGGCCAGGAAGCGAAAGCAAUAGUUUAAUAUUUAUUGAAGAGAAACCCAAGGCUGUCAAGGUUGUCACUAACUCACCAUCUCGUUCAACUCCCUCAUUUUACUGAUGAGCCAACAGGGGUCCAGAGAAGUGGUCUGACUUGCCUGGAGUGACACAGCCAGCUGGCUGCCGGCAGGAGCUGUUACCCAGGCCUCCUGACUCCCAGAUUGGGGCUUUCAUGGCCAGAGCAUGCCCUGGGGCAGAACGGGGACUGUGGCCAGAAACAAGGAAGUGUGGAAUUAGGAACAAGGCUAUGUUUCCAAAUCACUGUCUCCAGCAUGCCGGCUGGGAGCGAAGAAGAAGAAUGGCGUUCUGGGAACCAGUCAGCAGAAACCAUUUCAUAACUGCCCUUAAAAUAGUACAAUGCUGUGUCCUUUUCCUGUGACCUCUGGCAGACUGCAGGACAAAUCUCAGAACAACCAUUUUGUGAGACUGCAUUUCCUUGCUCCCACCCGCCCCCCCUCCACACCCUCGCGUCAAUGUAAAGACCCAAGGACCUCGGAGUAGCAAUUCCCAUUUUGUAAUCGGUACCAACUCCGUUUGCUAUUUGGUCCCAAACCCCCUUUGUUUUGAAAAAUCUUGGCUAACUAUUAGGUUGUGUUUAUUAAUCAGUCCCCAGUUAUUUCCCCCAUUCUAUCAUUCUCAAAGACAGAACCUCCAGAACAGUGUGAGGUGAUCAGUGAAUCGGUGGACACUGGCAAGUGCCCUGACUGCCCACCACCCGUCAGGGCUCAUGCCGGGUAAGCAUGCAGCCAUCUUGGCUCCUUGGAUCUUCCCACCAACCCUGGGAGGUCGGUACCCAUUUUCCCCACCUCAAGUGCAGUGAGCAGUGUUCAGGAAGGCCAUCGUGCCAGGACAUGGCAGAGCCAGGAAAUCUGAGCCCUGAGCUGUGCUGGCAAGGCUCCCCCAUUAGCCUGGGCAUCUUACCGCCAUCAGAAAGAGCACUCAGGCACUCUGAGCCUAGAGCCCCUGACUGCCUCUAGGGGAAGCCCUUCUAGAGUCUGAGGUGUCUGAGGAGCUGUGGAGGGGCAAGGUGAGAUCCAGGAGGACCCCCAGCCAUCCCAGGAACACUGGACAGGGCCACACAGGACUCCUCAGCAGUGGGCAUGGUGACUGCUCAGCCAACAGGACACAGGCUUUGUACAAGAGGGCACAUUCCCACAGAUGACCCAGGAGGCAAGACGAUAGGAUGGGGUUUGCAAGACAGACCCAGACUGGCCCAUCUCAUAGCUGUGUGAACUCGAGCCUUGCUUUUCUCACCUGUAAAAUGGGGCCAAUACAAGCAACCUCAGUGUUACUUCAGAUGAUCUGGUGAGAGAGGUGUUGCUUGAUGCCUGGAAGAUAGGGCUUAAUAAUUGAGAGCUGCCCUUCUUGAUGCAGGGCGGGUGUUCCUCUGAGUCCCCCUUGGCCACAAACUUGGAAUAUUUGAUUUCUGCUUCACCCAGAGUCUGCAGCACAGUAAGACUGUCGGCAGCUGUGGCCCAGGUCAUCUGCACCGGCCUCCAGAGCAGCCCUCUGUGAGCCACUGACGCCCAUUGCCAAUUGGGGUAGAAGCAUGCCUGCUCCACGCCACGACCUGGGGUGGCCCCCAUGCCAGGACAAUGGUGCUGGAACACUGACCUAGAGAAGCUGACCAUAAAUGGGGGUAAAAUGCGGGUGCUAAUGGUUCAGAAGUUUGUUUUUAGGGAAGAUUUAAUGAGGUAAUAUAGGGAAAGGACAGUGCCGGGCUCAUAAUAUGUGCUCAGUGAAACUUAGCCGUAAUCAUAAGAAUUAUUAUCUCCUAGUGGCCAAGUAAUAUCUUAUUCUCUCAAAGGCCAUGUAGGGGUGCAAUCAUCACUUUCCCAUUUUACAGAUGGGGAAGUCAAGGGGAGUGGCAGGAACCUCCCCAACACACAAGGUGUAGAUCCUUUCACUUGCACCCCGUGGCCAUCCUGGUGGCUCUGGCUGGGCUCUGGGCACCCAGUGGGCAGUGGUGAGGUGGUACCUUGUGCGGGAGCAGAACCCCUCGAGGCUCUUCGAUCUCCCUCGCCCUGCCGGCCAUUCCAGACUUUCCCCGGCCACUUCCAAGCACGCCAGGACUCAGGCGCAAAGCUGCAAGAGCUGGCCUCCAGGGGGCAGCAGGAGCCUGAGAAACUCUAGGCUGGCUGGACUAGGAAACCGAGUGUCACAGAAGGCUAGCCAGGGUGCCCUGGGGGGAAUGCUGACCGGCUGAGGGCCAUGCUGCCUGUGCCUGGAGCUGAACUCAGGGCUAGGAUGCAAGAGAGGGGGAGGACAGGAGGGCACUGAAUUCAGAUGCUCGGCCUCCUCCCGAAAUCCGCUCUCCCUGGUCAGCUUGUUUCCAUUCUGCUCAGUAAAUAGGGGCUGCACUGAUCCAGGUGCCAUGGGGGAUUAAAUGUGCACAUUCCCAGCCCUCCAGAAAGUGAGGGAGGCCAGUGCAGCCUGGGGAGUGCAGGACCAGGGGGUUCAGGUGGGGGGUGUGGGGUGCAUCAUGACAGAGUCUGUCAGAGAGGGCAUCUUCCAAGCCACCAAAGACCAUGCAGAGACCAGGAUGUUCCUUAGAACUGCACCUGGACCCCUCUGGCCUCUGCCUAAGGAACUUGCUCACCACCUUGUGGUUCUAGGGUCCGUGAAGGGCCAGAUUCCUGGGCCUUCCCCAAGCCUUGGAGUCAGAAGGUCUGUAGUUUUAGCCAGUUGUCCAGGGGACAUUUGCACAGGCUCACAUCUGACAGCCUCUGCUCUGAGGCCACAAAAGGGAUGAAUACGGCUGUUUAUUGAUCUCUCCUUGCCAGGCCCUGAGCUAAGUGCUCUUUAGAUACCAUUCUAUGUAUUUCCCCCCCUUCACAAUAUUCCUUCGUCUGUUCUUUACAAAUAACGACCUGGACUAUGGCUGAGAGAGGUGAAGUGAUGUGUCCAAGGGCACACAGCACUUAGUACCUGAAGCAGGAUCAGAACUCAGGGCAGUGUGGUUCUAGAGCAUGCCUGCUUUCACUCUCCAUGUAACCAAGCAUGGGUUAGAGAAGCAGCAAAGGCUGUGCCUAGCCCAUGGCCAAGGGAAGGAGCCAGGAUGACCUUGGAGUCAAGAGAGGGCCUAUCUUGGACUCUGCAGCUUGGGGCCUGGCACAUAGCAAACACUGAAAUGCUUAGACUUCUGUUUUUUAACAUUUGGAGAUAACAGGGGGAGCAAAGCCUUCUGUUCUCCCCUCCACCCCGGUCCCUGCCAGAGAUGGUUCUGUCCUCCUGGUCAGAUCAGAGUCCAUGUGGCUCUGGUCUCGAACCCUGUGCAUCUUGGCAGGAAAGGGGGUGGGGGUGGGAAGAGAAGGGUCUGGGUCUAAGUUUCCCUGGCAAUCUGUUUUCCGACUCCUGAGCUCCUUGGAAGCUGGACUUCCAGAUCUAUUUCCUUCAGUGUCGUUAUCUGAAACAUAGAUCUCCUGCAUCUGGUCUCACUGGCAGUUUGCAAGUAUUCUGUGAGAUCAUGUGGGAGGAGAGAGGUCUGCAAACCCAGAUGCGCAGUUCAAAUGUCUACUAUUACUCAGGACAACUGCUCAGAAAUUGGGAUCAGUGUGAGGCCAUCAGACCGAUGACCAUCUCUCUACCCCACUAGUCAAAUAAGAUUCAAAUAGUCCACUGGAAUGGGCCUGUGGCGGCCUCUAGCUCUGUUAGCUUAGACAGCCUCUCUCAUCUGUGCCCCCUCACCCUCUCUAAUCUGUCUCUUUCUUCACCAUUCAAAUUAGUUAUUUGAAUGACCAGAAGCCCGAAGUUCCUUCCCGGGCCCAGUGGCCCCCAACUUGCCCAAGAACUCUCUUCCCUCGGGCUUCUGCAAACUGAGAAAUUCCAAGAUUCCCACCGUGCUCAGGUCGCCCCUUUGGCCACCUGACACUGCCUGCUCAACACAGGGGGCCCACAGGUCAUCAGCGAAGCACCCACUUCUCCUCAGCCUGCGGAGACAAGAAAGAAAGAGGCCACAUGUGCAUCCUUAGGCUUCCUAGACAGGUGCAUCUCUUCUGUGCUUUGGCCAAAGGUGGACUUAGAAUGUUGAUGGAACAGUCACAGGGAAAAGAAACACACAGAGAUAGUAAUAAUGCUGACGGUUCCUGAGCAGAGAAAUGACCUUCAGACACUACUCACCUGUGGUGGCACCAGAUCCCUUUCACCUUUGGAAUCUCUCUGGUCUUCCUGUUCAACAUCUUCAGCUCGUGGCUCAACCUGCAGGGGCAACUAUGAUGUGGUGACAGCUCACUGGCUCCUUAGAGAUGGGCUCAUGUCUCAGAAUCCCCCAAUUUGGGCAAGUGCUUUCCUCUCUCGGUGCUUCCAUUUGCACAUCUGUAGGAUGGGCUCUCCCUACCCCUGCUCCCCUGAUCUCAGAUUAGUGGGAGGGUCUGAUGAGAUGGCCUGUAGAUGUGAAUGCUCCACACUUAGCACACGUGGGCCCCACCCUCUUGCCGAAUCUCCAGGCUUUCUAGAAUGUUGUUAAUUGGUAGUGAAUAAAUCUCUGACUCCUCAAAUAAGGAUAAAAAGACUACUUUCAUUUGACUUGACCCUGCAAUUCUGGGACUCUAACCAGUAGAAAUGAAAAUGAAGGAUGCAAGGAUAUGGAUGAUUAUCACCACGCUGGUUGUAUUUGUUACGAGGGGACUAGAAGAACCCUACAAAACUAAUGUGCAUCACUAAUGGAGAGGCUGAAUAAACUAUGGUACGACGACCACUCUGUUGGAUUAAGCAGCUAUGACAAUAAAGAAUGUUUUCUUUUUCUUUUGAUCUAGAGAGACAGCCAUGAUGCAUUCAGUAAAAAAUACAUGUAGGGAUAUAUGUAUAGUGUUAUUUUUA
rnacentral:lncRNA from 1 species